AGCGCAAGUGGUCUAGUGGUAGAAUAGUACUCUGCCACGGUACAAACCCGGGUUCGAUUCCCGGCUUGCACACUUGCAAUGAUGAAGUUGCGCUCAUUGUGAUGUUGGGUCAUCACACCUGUUCGAUCUUUCGAAUUAUGAAGCGAAUCUGAGCAA
rnacentral:sRNA from 1 species